GAUGAACGCUAGCGGCAGGCCUAACACAUGCAAGUCGAGGGGUAACAGAAUAGCUUGCUAUUGCUGACGACCGGCGCACGGGUGCGUAACGCGUAUACAAUCUACCUUAUACAGGAGGAUAGCCCUAAGAAAUUGGGAUUAAUACUCCAUAGUAAUUUGAAUUCGCAUGAAUUUAAGUUUAAAACUUCGGUGGUAUAAGAUGAGUAUGCGUGAUAUUAGCUAGUUGGUAAGGUAACGGCUUACCAAGGCGACGAUAUCUAGGGGGCCUGAGAGGGUUAUCCCCCACACUGGUACUGAGACACGGACCAGACUCCUACGGGAGGCAGCAGUGAGGAAUAUUGGUCAAUGGAGGCAACUCUGAACCAGCCAUGCCGCGUGAAGGAAGAAUGUCCUAUGGAUUGUAAACUUCUUUUUUAUUUUGGGAAAGAAAACCUACCCACGUGUGGGUAGCUGACGGUACCAAAAGAAUAAGGACCGGCUAACUCCGUGCCAGCGCCGCGGUAA
rnacentral:rRNA from 1 species